UACAGAGGGCCCGAGCGUUGUUCGGAUUCACUGGGCGUAAAGGGUGCGUAGGUGGCAUGGCAAGUUUGAUGUGAAAGCUCAGGGCUUAACCCUGAAAUGGCAUUGAAUACUGCUGUGCUGGAGGUUUGGAGGGGGGACUGGAAUUCUUGGUGUAGCAGUGAAAUGCGUAGAUAUCAAGAGGAACACCAGUGGCGAAGGCGAGUCCCUGGACAGCACCUGACACUGAGGCACGAAAGCGAGGGGAGCAAACAGG
rnacentral:rRNA from 1 species